CAACUGUUUUUAGACUGUCGGCUGCAAGCCGACAGUCUUUAGAGAGCGGUAUUUCAGAAACGCGACUAGUCGCCUGACACGACAUAUUGAACAUGAAUAUAUUAAUACACACCACCUGCGUAGCAACAGAACUACUUACGUGAAUGUGGGGCGUCAAGUACCUGCUUAUGUGUAUUUAACGCGUUAUUGCCUUUUUUAUGACAAACAUUGCGUGUUACUCUUAGUAUAGUUGUACCGUUGCAAUUUGGUGAGUUUUAUUGAACAAAAUAAUGAAAAAUAAUGAAAGUAUAGCAUUUACAUACGAAGUCAUUUUACCCUACAUCCAAUAGUAAGCUACACCACAUGUUUGCACCCCCUGUGACGUCGCACAUAUCCCGGCAUUCAAGACUGACCCGGCAAUGAACUUAUUUCAUGAAUGAAAGCUAUUAAGAAAUAAAUCAUACGCGGUUAAAGAGUUCAUGUCAUGUAAUAUUUUGUGAAAUAGCUUUUAUGUUUCAAAUGAUUUUUUUCAGCAGCAAUCGAACUAGUGUAUUUGUUUGAGUAAAUUAUUUGGAUUAUACCUAUCACAGUGUGUCAACGUUAUGCCUAUUGUUAUUUUUGACUAUAGGGUGUAGUUUUUAAAGUCAUACACAAUAUGGCGGCGAUUAUGCGGAAAUGAAAUUGAAUGGUAUUUCGAAUACGUUCUUCUACAAAAUAACCGACCUGUAUUUAGUGCUAUUGCUUUAACAUCAAUCGAAGCAAAAAUGGCAUCAAUGUAAGCGUCUAAAAAUGUUAAAUUUAGAUGGAGACAAUCCAGAAAUGAGCUGCCAGGAAGUGAUCGAUUUCGGACACGAAGAUUGAGAAGUGCCUGGAUACAAGGCUAGUAUUGUUGACAUCAUCUGAUACAAUCAACUGGAACAAAGCUGAAAUGGCUGCCUGACCUGACUUAAAAAUUGGAUGGCAGUACAUCAGACUAGAAGAUUACAAGUAUUGAGGUGGACAAAAUAAAACCUGAGCCUACCAAAGCUGACAGAUUGCACAAGAAACACAUACAUGCAGAUUGGAAGAUUCAUUCUCUGGAAAGUAGAAAAGGGCAUGUUACAUACUGUUAUCACUGCCAUGACAGAAACCAUAUUGAGGAGCUGGUCCACCUGUAGGAAGAAUUGCGCUAUUGGUUGGGGCAGCACUAUUACCCAGCCAUACACCAGCACUUAGUUUGUCAUAGGAAGCAUUUCUGAGCAGUUAUGGAGACCACUAACUAUGCAGUUGUUGCAGUGAAACUUGCGCCAGUGUGUUUUCUGUGGAGAUAAAGAGAUAGUGUCCAGCAAUGAAGACCCAACUCAAGAUCUGACCUUGUAAGGCCAAUAUGAAAUAACUGUGUGGGAAAAAGGGAAAAACCUGCAGUCAGGAAUGCAUGGAAAUCAUCAAAAGAACAGUGUUAAAAUAAUCUUGAAUAACUUGACAUUUAUUUUGUUUGACAUAUUUAUUCAUGGUGCAGUGAAAACAUUCUUUUUUUCUCAUGGUUAUUUAAAUUUAGAAUUGAUAGGAGGGAACAUCACUAUGUAGUUUUAUGUUCAUAGUCAGAUCAAAACCCAUGUACAUGCCCAAAUGAGCAUUCGAAAAUAUCAAAACGGUACUUGUUGUAUGUAGUGUAAGUUAAUUAACAUAAUAAACAAAAAUAUUUAAUCAAUUUCAAUUUAUUAUGCCCCUUUCAAAGAAGAGGAGUAUAUUGCUUUGCACAUGUUGGCCGCUACGUCCGUCUGUCUGACAGUAGACCAAAGCUUUUCCGGGUGAUAACUCGACAAUUCCUAGACCUAUUGUCAAACUUGACAUGAAAGUUUGGUUUAACCAGUAGAUGACCACUUUUGAUUUUAGGGGUAAUAUGGUCAAAGGUCACAGUGACCUUAAACAGGAAGGUGUCAAACCAUACAUUUGACUGAUAAGUUGACAAUGCCUGCACCUAUGGCCCUCAAACUCAACAUGGAGGCUAAGUCUGACUAUUAGAAGAUCCUAUUGAUUUAAAGGGUCAUUGGGUCAAAAGUCAAAGUCACAGUGACUUUGAAUGCUUUAAGGUUGUACUAAUAAUGACUGGACAAAGCCUGCACCCAUGGCCCUUGAACAACUUGACUUUGGGGUUGGGCCUGACCAGUAGGUGAGCCCUAUUGAUUUGUCACAGACCAUUGAACGCAAAAAGCUUGCCUGUGUGACAACUCGACAAAGUCUGCACCCAUGGCCUUCAAACUUGAAAUUUAGGUUUGGGGUGACCAGCAGAUGACCCCUUUGGAUUUGGAGGUCAAGGUCACAUCUCCAAUAUUGGUCAUGAAAACUAUGUCAUUUACUUAUUCCCUGCUGCUAAGAGGAUACAUGUUUAUCAGCAAAUAUCAGCCAUCAUCUGAAUAUGAGUGAAAACUGUACCAACUACCCUCAUACUUUGAAUAGCAUAAUCUUAAAACUGCCUCAAAGGCAUCUUUUGUCAAUGAAAAACCAGCUGUCAUUUCGGUCCAUGCAUAUUUCAUUCAAUUGUCCAGAUAUUCUUGACAACAUGGCGCUAAUUAAUGCUGCAGGUUUGAAAUUUAAGAUAUAAGUUUUUUUCUUCAGCACCAUGCAGAUUUAUUAACACUUUUAUAAUAAAAACAAACUAGAAAACAAAUUUUAAAGAUAUUAGUUUUUUUCAUGGUAUGAUGCCACAGCACCAUGCAGAUUUGUUUUCACUUUUAUAUCAAAGAAAGUAACUCGAGCACAAAUUUUGUAGAUAUGUGGACUCUGUUGAUAGAAGUUCUGGCAUUUUUAGGCUUGAAAGAGCAUCAUUUUAAAGUUAUAUUUUUAUUAUGUCCCUUGAAUCUUGGGUAUAGUUUGUAUUGUAUUUGCAUUUUAAAGACAUUGACUUCAACAGACCCUAAUGAAAUGAAGGAAUGUAAUUGCUUACUGAAACUGUUAUAAGCGACGUCAUAAAUUGAAGCAAUUUUAACAUAAUGAAUAUGCAUUUAACUAAUUUAAAGCGGUUCAAAAUUAGGAAAUUUUAAUUAAGAAUCUUGUAGGCCAUUGGAUACAUGAUUAAGUAGGGCCAAUAUAUUUGUGCUUAUUAUAAUCACAUUUAUCCUUCUUCAUCUACCUUAAAGAGUGUUCAUCAUUUGUAUGAAAUCAUUUGAUCACGUUUCAUUUGAAAGAACUUUGCGGUAGUGUUUGCUUGCUUCAGUUACGUCACCGACAGUCUUGCAGCGCUUUCAGCGCUUUGAUUGAAAUUUGCACCAUGAUUAUGGACGACCAUGACCUCCAGAGGCCGGAUUGUGGUGAUUCGGCAGUUAUUCUCUACCAAACACUCCGACGUGAAAUUCUCAGUGAAAUUAGUCGCACAUGAAGAGGAUGUUUUCCAAAUACAGACCGAUUUAAAAUUCAGAAAAUUAACUUUUUAUUAUGGUAUGUGUUAUUUAAAUGUUUGGUCAGAAUACAUUUUAUAUAUUUACAAUACAUUUAUAUUUAUAGUAUCUGUUCUACAAAAACAUGUCUGUUUGAUAUAUAUACAACAUGUACAUGUAUUUCUAUUCGGUUAAUACACAUGCAUUAUGCAUCGCGCCAUGUGUACUGCAUAUGUGGUUGCUUUGUAUUUUCAACGUUAAGGAUGCACUCUUAUUCCCAAAUAAGAUUUACAUCAAUUAAUAAUAUUGUUUUAUUAUUCCCAAAAAGAUGAAUAAAUGUUAAAAACAAAUGGUUCCUACGAAGAAAAUCGAGUUCAAUUUGAAAGAAAUGAGCAUAAAACACAGUAUUUCUACCUUAUGAGACCAUAGUAGACCACAGUAAAUACUUUAGCAUUUACCAAUCUGUUCUUUUUGCACUUUCUGCUAAUAAAUUCACGGUUACAAUCGUGUUAUCAGUAGUUAAUAUUUUCCAUAAAUGCAUUAUUUAGUAAGCAGUUUAACGUUUAUCAGUCAAAAUUUAUGUUUGUUAUACACGUGUACGUAUUGAUUUUGAAUAAGAGUUUCACUUUCAAUGUAAGCCCAUGAAUAAGCACUGGUCA